rnacentral:rRNA from 1 species
AUGAUGGCAGAAUUUGAUCCUGUAAUGCAAGAGCAUCUUCGGCGCAUUAAGAAUAGUGAAAUCCAUCAUCAUUAUCAUGGCCAUAAUAUUCAGAAUGAGUUAAUUUCCCUUCUUGGUCGCACUGUUAAAUAUUCUCUGUUGAGGAUAAUUAAGGAUGCAAGGUAUUUCUCUGUCAUCUUGGACUGUACACCUGACGUGAGCCAUCAAGAACAAAUGACUCUAAUUGUGAGGUGCGUAAACAUGUCAAGUACUACUACAAAAAUAGAGGAGUUUUUUCUGGAGUUCUUGAAGGUGGAUGAUACAUCCGGACUUGGACUUUAUAACGUGUUAAUAGAUUCACUUAAAUCUGUUGGUUUGGAUGUUAAAGAUGUUCGUGGACAAGGGUAUGACAAUGGUUCGAACAUGAAAGGAAAACACCAAGGGGUACAGAGCAGACUACUUGAAACUAAUCCAAGAGCAUUAUUCAUGCCAUGCGCUUGUCAUAGCCUGAACCUUACUCUUAGUGAUAUGGCAAAAUCUUGCGGUAAAGCUGUUACCUUCUUUGGUGUUGUGCAAAGAAUUUAUAUAUUGUUUUCAAGCUCUACUAAAAGAUGGCAGCUAUUGCUUGAUCAUGUUCCAAAAAUGACAGUUAAGUCUUUGUGUAACACUCGAUGGGAGAGUCGAAUAAAGAGUGUUCAGGCUAUCAGAUAUCAAGCACCCGAGUUAAGAAAAGCAUUACUGGAAUUGAAGAGAACUUCUACCGAUGACGCCAAGACUAAGAGCGACGCAAAAUCUUUGGCUAGCGCACUUGAGAAAUUUGAAUUUUUACUUGGCAUGGUCAUUUGGCAUGACAUUUUGUUCACUGUAAACAUGGUGAGUAAGAAGUUGCAGUCUAAGUUUGUGUGCAUUGAUGUUACUCUUAAACAGAUUGAAGGUGCCAUCUCAUAUUUUAAGAAGUACAGAAAUGACGGCUUUGCAACUAGUCUGGAUAUUGCGAGAUCUAUUGCAAUUGACAUGGGUGUACAACCUUUGUUUCCUGUCAAGAGACGUAUUACUAGAAAAAGACAGUUUGAUGAAAUUAGUGGCAAUGACGAAAAUAACCAGAAUGAAGAAACGCAAGCAAUUAAAUACUUUUUGGUGAUGAUUGAUGUUGCAAUUGCUUCCCUAACUACUAGAUUUGAGGAACUGAAGACAUUUGGGAGCAUAUUUGGUUUCUUGUUCAACUCGAAAGAGUUGAAGUCCUUGGGUGAUAAUGAUCUAAGAAGAUGUUGCACUAAUUUUGUCAACAAAUUCACUCAUGGUAAGUCAGCAGAUGUCGAUCUAGAUGAUUUUGUUUCUGAACUAAAAGUACUGCAGAUGACAUUGCCAAACACAUUCAUGUCAGCGGAUCAGAUAUUUGAGUUUGUUAGAGAUGCGGAUUGUUAUCUAAAUGUCUCAAUUGAUUAUCGUAUCCUUUUGACCGUACCUGUGACUGUUGCAUCAGCUGAAAGGAGUUUCUCAAAAUUGAAACUAUUGAAAAAUUAUUUGAGGUCAACGAUGUCUCAAGAAAGAUUGAAUGGAUUGGCCAUGUGCUGCAUUGAGAAGAAUAUGCUAGAUAGUAUUGAUCUUGACACUCUCAUUGAUGAUUUUGCAUCAAAAAAUGCACGAAAGUCUCGUUUCACAUGA